rnacentral:sRNA from 1 species
CGAAGAUAAACGUCUAUCUGCUACUGCGUA